CACAUCUCUAAACAAAAUCACGGCGUCAUACACAGAUCGGAUCUGAGCUGUUGUUCUUGGUUGAGCGGCGCUCACGGCGUACGUCAUGACGGCGUCGACCCAGCGAACCACACCAACAUCUCAGGUUAAAUCCUUUCUCCCAAUCUCCACUGCUUAGAUGUGCAGCUCUCAAAUCCCAAUCGCCCCGUUCCCAAUCUCCUACUAGAACUAAAUCGCCAACGGCAUGGCCCCUUUACAAUCCAUGCUCGACGUGCUGUCGUCGAUGCUGUCCAUUGCCUCGGCCACGGCGAGCAUAUCUAUGGCGGCCGCGACCACGACCAGGCUUGCCAAUACCUCGUCGAUCCCGCGAUCUAUCAUGUGGUCUGCUUUUGAUUACUCUAUAAUAGCAUCAGUAGACUUCUGUUUGUUAAUGCGCUCAAUGCUGUGCAGAAGCUGUAGUCACUCUGAUCGUGCCAAGCAUAGUAAAUGUGGAAUGUUGACAGUUGCCACUGUGAGGGGUUGGUGCCAUGAACUGAUAUAAAUGAAAUCAUGAACAAAGUACCACCGUGGUUUCUCGUUUUUCACUGUCCUCACACUUCCAGCAAAUGUAGUGCGAACUAAUCUCUUCCAUUACUACUUAGACAUGCGAUUCCUUUGCAUCUGUAGGAAAACUUAUUUCAUUUUAUGCCUUCUUUACAUAUUUUGUGUCUUUCUGAAACUGACUCAAAUUCUGAUAUUACCUGCACAAGGCAACGAUGAAUUCUACGGAGCAUGUUGCUGUAAGGAAAAGCUCUAUUGUCUUCACAGGGAUUGAAAGUAUAACAUCAUACAUACACAAACGUGGACAACCCAGAUUGGAACCAAAGAAAUAGCGGAGAGGGUACAAGUAAUGGGAAAAACGCACCUACAUUAGAGAUUUCAGGAACCAAGAUAGUGAUGUACUAUACUGUACAUCAUGGACAGUUUAUUCUUACACACUUAAUUAGGAUGGCUACAUUUUACUUGAGAUUCAUUUGAUGGAUAUUUGCGAUGAGAAUUUUGAUUUGUAUGAACCGACAUAUUAUACGUAUGGUUUUGAGUUUUGUAAUUUAAUGGCUGUUUUUUCUA